UCGUUGAUAGCAUAUGUUAAUGCACCUAACUGUUAAUUAGAAGAAGCUAAUGCUCAUGAG
rnacentral:tRNA from 1 species